AUUGAACGCUGGCGGCAGGCCUAACACAUGCAAGUCGAACGGUAACAGGAAGCAGCUUGCUGCUUCGCUGACGAGUGGCGGACGGGUGAGUAAUGUCUGGGAAGCUGCCUGAUGGAGGGGGAUAACUACUGGAAACGGUAGCUAAUACCGCAUAAUGUCGCAAGACCAAAGAGGGGGACCUUCGGGCCUCUUGCCAUCGGAUGUGCCCAGAUGGGAUUAGCUCGUUGGUGGGGUAACGGCUCACCAAGGCGACGAUCCCUAGCUGGUCUGAGAGGAUGACCAGCCACACUGGGACUGAGACACGGUCCAGACUCCUACGGGAGGCAGCAGUGGGGAAUAUUGCACAAUGGGCGCAAGCCUGAUGCAGCCAUGCCGCGUGUAUGAAGAAGGCCUUCGGGUUGUAAAGUACUUUCAGCGGGGAGGAAGGGAGUAAAGUUAAUACCUUUGCUCAUUGACGUUACCCGCAGAAGAAGCACCGGCUAACUCCGUG
rnacentral:rRNA from 1 species